rnacentral:rRNA from 1 species
AUACGUAGGGAGCGAGCGUUGUCCGGAAUUACUGGGCGUAAAGGGCGCGUAGGCGGCGCUUCAAGUCGUCUGUCAAAUGGGAGGGCUUAACCCUUUUUCGCAGACGAAACUGGAGAGCUUGAGAAGCAGAGAGGCAAACAGAAUUCCUGGUGUAGCGGGGAAAUGCGUAGAUAUCAGGAAGAAUACCAGUGGCGAAGGCGGUUUGCUGGCUGCAUACUGACGCUGAAGCGCGAAAGCCAGGGUAGCGAACGGGAUUAGAUACCCCGGUAGUCCUGGCCGUAAACGAUGGGUACUAGGUGUGGGAGGUAUCGACCCCUUCCGUGCCGGAGUUAACGCAAUAAGUACCCCGCCUGGGGAGUACGGCCGCAAGGCUUAAACUCAAAGGAAUUGACGGGG